UGGGGAAUAUUGCACAAUGGGGGAAACCCUGAUGCAGCGACGCCGCGUGAACGAAGAAGGUAUUCGUAUCGUAAAGUUCUGUCCUAUGGGAAGAUAAUGACAGUACCAUAGAAGAAAGCUCCGGCUAAAUACGUGCCAGCAGCCGCGGUAAUACGUAUGGAGCGAGCGUUGUCCGGAAUUAUUGGGCGUAAAGGGUACGCAGGCGGUUUAAUAAGUCGAAUGUUAAAGAUCGGGGCUCAACCCCGUAAAGCAUUGGAAACUGAUAAACUUGAGUAGUGGAGAGGAAAGUGGAAUUCCUCGUGUUGUGGUGAAAUACGUAGAUAUUAGGAGGAAUACCAGUAGCGAAGGCGACUUUCUGGACACAAACUGACGCUGAGGUACGAAAGCGUGGGGAGCAAACAGG
rnacentral:rRNA from 1 species